AGCAAGUAGUUUACUAAAAUAUUAGUUUUGGAGACUUAAGUCACUUAAAGAGUUUUGCUGAA
rnacentral:tRNA from 1 species